rnacentral:lncRNA from 1 species
UCCGCGAUUAUAGUGUCCCAAAAUCUCAAGACGAGUGAAAAUAGCUUCAUAAACAUUUAAUUGAGUGUACUUGUUAUCCCAUCGUGCUGUCUUGUCUCGUAUACUGCUCUUCAAGUACCAAACACUAAGUCCUUGAUACAAACUUGCAUAACAUAGGAUCCCCCCUGAUACACCAAGAGAUCUCCAAUAUUGAUAGGGUGAGCCCAUCAGGUAUGUCUGGAGACCAGAAACACAUAUUCACACUAUCAUAUACAUUGAUUCGAGAACUAAAGUCAAGCCAAUAGAACACUCCGUCAAUAGCGCCUCCUGAUUUUAGCCACUUUGAAGGAUGGUAGUGGCAGCGAUAAAAAACAAGAGGAAUUUGAAGUGCAAAAGUUAUUUCAGUCCAAACAUUACUUUGAGAAGAGAAACUUUCAAUUG